UACGGAGGGUGCGAGCGUUGUCCGGAAUCACUGGGCGUAAAGGGCGCGUAGGUGGCCCGUUAAGUGGCUGGUGAAAUCCCGGGGCUCAACUCCGGGGCUGCCGGUCAGACUGGCGAGCUAGAGCACGGUAGGGGCAGAUGGAAUUCCCGGUGUAGCGGUGGAAUGCGUAGAGAUCGGGAAGAAUACCAGUGGCGAAGGCGUUCUGCUGGGCCGUUGCUGACACUGAGGCGCGACAGCGUGGGGAGCAAACAGG
rnacentral:rRNA from 1 species